rnacentral:rRNA from 1 species
AACGAACGCUGGCGGCGUGCCUAACACAUGCAAGUCGUGCGAGAAAGUUUCUUCGGGAGCGAGUAAAGCGGCGCACGGGUGAGUAACACGUAGGUAACCUGCCCCCCAGUCUGGAACAACUAGAGGAAACUCUAGCUAAUGCCGGAUGAGACCACGAUCCCUUCGGGGGUUGCGGCCAAAGAUGGCCUCUACUUGUAAGCUAUCGCUGAGGGAUGGGCCUGCGGCCAUUAGCUUGUUGGUGAGGUUAAACGGCUCACCAAGGCUGUGAUGGCUAGCUGGUCUGAGAGGAUGACCAGCCACACUGGGACUGAGACACGGCCCAGACUCCUACGGGAGCAGCAGUGGGAAUA